AAAUAAACCAAUACUUGGUAGAAUUUGAAGCAAUUAAAAAUAAAAUAAAAUAAUUAAACAGCUAUCUAUAUGGCUAGGAUUUGUGUCCCCACCCAAAGCUCAUGUUGAAUUGUAAUCCCUAAUGUUGGAGAUGGGGCCUGGUGGGAGGUGACUGCAUCAUGGGGGAAGAUUUCUGAUGAAUGGUUUACCACCAUCCACUUGGUACUGUUCUCACAACAGGGAGUGUGUUC
rnacentral:lncRNA from 1 species